rnacentral:rRNA from 1 species
UACGAGGGGGCGAGGCGUUGUCCGGAAUCAUUGGGCGUAAAGGGCGCGUAGGUGGCGGGACAAGCGUGCGGUGAAAGCCUGGGGCUCAACCCCGGGUCGGCCGUGCGAACUGUUUGCUUGAGCACUGUAGAGGCAGGCGGAAUUCCGGGUGUAGCGGUGGAAUGCGCAGAUAUCAGGAAGAACACCCGUGGCUAAGGCGGCUCUCUAGGUACGGUACUGACGCUGAGACGCGAAAGCGUGGGGAGCGAACAGG